GGGCGCAAGCCUGAAGCAGCGACGCCGCGUGGGCGAUGAAGGUCUUCGGAUCGUAAAGCCCUUUUCUGCGUGACGAGGAAGGACGGUAGCGCAGGAAUAAGUGUCGGCUAACUACGUGCCAGCAGCCGCGGUAAAACGUAGGACGCAAACGUUAUCCGGAAUUACUGGGCGUAAAGAGCGUGUAGGCGGGUGAGUAAGUUGUCCGUGAAAGCUCCCGGCUAAACUGGGAGAGGUCGGAUAAGACUGCUGACCUGGAGGGUGUUAGAGGGAUGCGGAAUUCCGGGUGUAGUGGUGAAAUGCGUAGAGAUCCGGAGGAACACCAGAGGCGAAGGCGGCAUCCUGGGACAUACCUGACGCUGAGACGCGAAAGCAUGGGGAGCGAACGGGAUUAGAGACCCCGGUAGUCCAUGCCGUAAACGAUGUUCACUAGAUGUUCGUAUGACUACGGUUGUGUGAGCGUCGAAGCCAACGCGCUAAGUGAACCGCCUGGGGAGUACGGUCGCAAGGCUA
rnacentral:rRNA from 1 species